ACUGGGCAUGGUGGCACAUGCCUGUAAUCUCAGCUACUCGGGAGGCUGAGGUGGGAGGAUCGCUUGAGCCCAGUAGUUCUGGGCUGUAGUGUGCUCUGCCGAUCGGGUGUCCACACUAAGCGUGGCAUAAAUAUGGUGACCUCUCGGGAGCAGGGGACCACAAAGUUGCAUAAGGAGGGGUGUAUGGCCCAGGUUGGAAACAAAGCAGGUCAAAACUCCUCUGCUGAUCAGUGGUGGGAUCGCACCUGUGAACAGCCGCUGCACUCCAGCCUGGGCAACAUAGCAAGACCCCAUCUCU
rnacentral:SRP_RNA from 1 species